rnacentral:pre_miRNA from 9 species
UCUCGAUAGCGUAAAAGUUAACUCAUAUUUGUAUGGAACGGGAUCGUUUGCCUACGUUUGCCGCUAGGGGCGCUGUUCCAACUGCAUACAAAAUUGGGUUAACUUUUACGCUAUCGA